rnacentral:rRNA from 1 species
CGGCAGCAGUGAGGAAUAUUGGUCAAUGGUCGGGAGACUGAACCAGCCAAGCCGCGUGAGGGAUGAAGGUACAGAGUAUCGUAAACCUCUUUUGUCAGGGAACAAAGGCGGGGACGCGUCCCCGGAUGAGUGUACCUGAAGAAAAAGCAUCGGCUAACUCCGUGCCAGCAGCCGCGGUAAUACGGAGGAUGCGAGCGUUAUCCGGAUUUAUUGGGUUUAAAGGGUGCGCAGGCGGUCUGUUAAGUCAGCGGUCAAAGCCCGGGGCUCAAACCCGGCCCGCCGGUGAAACUGGCAGGCUCGAGUUG